rnacentral:rRNA from 2 species
UGGGGAAUUUUGCGCAAUGGGGGAAACCCUGACGCAGCAACGCCGCGUGAGUGAUGAAGGCUUUCGGGUCGUAAAGCUCUGUCUAGAGGGAAGAAAUGAUAUUCGGUUAAUACCCGGAUUUCUUGACGGUACCUCUGAAGGAAGCACCGGCUAACUCCGUGCCAGCAGCCGCGGUAAUACGGAGGGUGCAAGCGUUGUUCGGAUUUAUUGGGCGUAAAGCGCGUGUAGGCGGUUUGUUAAGUCUGAUGUGAAAGCCCCGGGCUCAACCUGGGAAGUGCAUUGGAAACUGGCAGACUUGAAUACGGGAGAGGGUAGUGGAAUUCCUAGUGUAGGAGUGAAAUCCGUAGAUAUUGGGAGGAACACCGGUGGCGAAGGCGGCUACCUGGACCGAUAUUGACGCUGAGACGCGAAAGCGUGGGGAGCAAACAG